rnacentral:lncRNA from 10 species
UAGAUGGGGUUCUACAUGUAAUCAGAUUGGUACUUGGGGCCUAACAAUUAAUGGAAAUUUUCAAAUGGAGUUGGAGGUUGCCAUGUAGGACUUUCUCCAACAGCAGUUCCAUUUGGGCAUGGAGAAUAUUUUCUUUUUCAUCUACGAUGUGGUUGAAAGAACGUUGCCAGGAGAGCUUAGACAAAGAGAUGUCCUCCUGUCUCAGGCACUCACUGCACGUGUCCUUGGUUACAUAGAGGAUGUUAUCCAGGUCCUGUGUUGUGACAAUGAAACCACAAGAUUUUGAAGAAGGCUGCACCUCUGCAACCUCUGCAUUGAACUGCAUGAAGCACAGUCACUGGUCACCAGGCCUACAGUGGGCUGACUCUACAUGAAGAUGCACAUCCAGAGAUUCAUUUUCCUUGCCCCUGGGUCUGUGAAGUUAUAAAAAAGGAAGUAAUUAAGCAUCUUGUUAUUGAACGGUCAAGAGGGAAAUGACACUGAGUGAGUAACCUUAAGCAAGUCAUGAAGGUGCAUGAGAAGGGUUUGCGACGGAGAAGAAUGAGGGGUCCAGGCAGAAGGCUCCAAGACAAUAAAGAGAUGAGGAAGUAGGCCAGGCACAGUGGCUCCUGCCUGUAAUCCCAGCACUUUGGGAGGCCGAGGCAGGCAGAUCACAAAGUCAGGAGAUUGAGACCAUCCUGGCUAACAUAGUGAAACCCCGUCUCUACUAAAAAUACAAAGACAAAAUUAGCCGAGUGUGGUGGUGGGCACCUGUAGUCCCAGUUACUCAGGAGCCUGAGGUGGGAGAAUGGCAUGAA